rnacentral:lncRNA from 1 species
CGCGCCAGCACGUAAGCAGAGCGCGAGAACGCCCGAGACGGCGGCGCAGCCAAUCCCAGAGCAGCGCUCCCCAACGGCCGGCCGGAGGGCGGGGAGAGAGGGGGGCUCGGCCAGAGCCACGCUUCCCAUUGGUUGAGACAGCACCGCCCAGCCAAAGCCCCCUUGUCCUCGCGCGGGUGCGCGCCUGGGCUCCCACCCUGGCCAGUCCCGGGCCCACCACCACUCUGGCAUCCCCAGCCUGUCCCCGCGGCUCCUCCUCCUUCCCCGGCCCUGUGGCCUGCCUGCUGUCCAGCAUUCUUCCCCAGGGCGCUGUGGCGCGGAGGGAGGACUCCCCAAACCCCGGGAACAGAGCCUUGCGGAGGACCCCGGAGGAGGAGGAGGAGGAGGGACGCGGACGGGACUGGGAGAUUCGGUCGGGAAGGGGACAGGGCCUAGAGCCCGGGGCUAGAAGGCAGGACACCUGGCUUCGGUCUGGGCUCGGCCUUUGACUACGACGUGACCUUGAGGACGGUUCCUUCCCUUCGUGGGGCCUGGGUCCCCUUCGCUCCUGGCACAUACAGCCCUGAAGACUGGGAGAAUCAGGAAGGGAGGAUGCACUUGGUUUUCUGUUCCCGUUUCACAGAUAGACUCAAGCCUGGAUUUGCUCCAGUGACGGUGUUUCAGAACAUUAGGCAUAUAGUACCACAGGGUUAAAAAUAAAUCACUAUACUAAAAUUACGCCUUGAGGAUUAUGCUUUGCUAGAAAAGUAGUUAAAGGAAGAAUUCUUCUUUACCCCAAGGGAAAAAACAUAGAUCCUGACUCUGAGAAUUAAACUGAAUUGUAGUCCUAUUUGCAUAAGACAGAAAAGGACAUUUGACCUUUCUGAGGUUGUAUUACACACCUGGCCUUACAUCUUCCCAGCCCAGCUUUGCUGUGACAACCAGCUAUGAACAGGUGUAACCUGAGAGCACCUUGCCUCAGCUGCACCUGGUAUUCUGCGUCUCUGGCACUGCAACCUGGGACCCUUGCAGGAAUCCGCUGCCCACUCCGACACAUGAGUAAACCUGGAAGUGCAAAGGAACACCUCAAAGGACAAACUUUGACCAAAGGGCAGGCAGGAACUGCAGGAAAAAUACUCUGCUCUUCCAGUCUUCCAGUGGGCAAUUCUGAGAUAUGUUCUAUGCAGCUCCUAAAAUGAUAGCAUUCUGUUUGCCCAUAGUAGUGACCGACUUGAUCAACUCACGAAUACACCCUUGGAUGCCAUUCUCUUUCCCUCCUUCCCUAUUUGACUCUUCCCAGCCCUCCCCUCCAAUUCCUUGGGAUUUUGUUAUGUAGCUUUAAAUGAUUCCAAACACUUUCACUUUGCUGUGAGAGUGAUAUUGUUUUACUGUGAUUAGAACAUGCAGGGAACUCUCCCUAGCCAAGGGAAUGUCAUGUCACACCUUAUCAGACCCUGCAUGGGAGCUACUGACCUCAACCACUGGACUCCAAACACAUAGAAACCCAAGAUUCUGACAGACGCUUGGAGAGCUGAGGAUGUGGCAAGGCCACUCUCUGGAAGCCUUGAAGCUGUUUUUGAAGCCUUGUCUCACAACGCUGGCACCGCUCUCUAGCAGCAAGAGACCUCACGUAUCUUCACGGAUCUCCAUUGUAUUAGUCAAGCUGUCCCUCCCGAGAACCUCUCCUAGAAAGUAGUGCCUCAAACUCUGAUUGGACUUUGCAUCCACAAAAGCCUGCUUUCCAUCCUAAGUGGGCAAUUGAACUUUUUUUUUUUUUUUUUGAGAUGGAAUCUCACUCUUGUUACCCAG